rnacentral:rRNA from 1 species
AUGACCUCGAGCCACACAACCUGCAAAUUGGUGGAUGGGUUGGUAUCCUCUGGUUUGAUCCCAGCAAGAGGAAGUGUUCUCUUCUCUUUAUCAACCAAAGGCACUUUCUUCUCUCAUGGAUGGAUGGGACUCCAUCAAUUUAGUAUCAGUUUAGGUGUUAGUAUGCUGUUGAUGCUUGUGUUGAUGCCAUGGUUUUUGUCUUGUCAUGUGCUGAUAUUAACUGGCAGCAUGAGCUCCCAUGAUUGCUUGCUUUCUUACUCUAUAACCUGUACAGCUAAAACAUGUUAUCCUACUCCAUGA